rnacentral:rRNA from 1 species
UACGUAGGGUGCAAGCGUUGUCCGGAAUUAUUGGGCGUAAAGAGCUCGUAGGUGGCCUGUCGCGUCGGCUGUGAAAACCCGGGGCUCAACCCCGGGCCUGCAUUCGAUACGGGCAGACUAGAGUUCGGUAGGGGAGUCUGGAAUUCCUGGUGUAGCGGUGGAAAUGACGCAGAUAUCAGGAGGAACACCGGUGGCGAAGGCGGGACUCUGGGCCGAUACUGACGCUGAGGAGCGAAAGCGUGGGGAGCAAACAGG